rnacentral:rRNA from 1 species
ACACGCAUGACACACUGCAUAUCAAUAAGCGGAGGAAAAGAAACUAACAAGGAUUCCCUAGUAACGGCGAGUGAAGCGGGAAGAGCUCAAAUUUGAAAUCUUCAAGGUUUACCUUGACGAAUUGUAGUUUAAAGAAGUGUUUUCUGUUAGAGAGUUUGGUAAAAGUUCUUUGGAAUAGGACAUCAUAGAGGGUGAGAAUCCCGUAUUUGAUCACUUUCUACUAACGUUGUGAUACACUUUCAAAGAGUCGGAUUGUUUGGGAAUGCAGUCCAAAAUGGGUGGUAAAUUUCAUCUAAAGCUAAAUAUUGGCGAGAGACCGAUAGCGAACAAGUACCGUGAGGGAAAGAUGAAAAGAACUUUGAAAAGAGAGUUAAACAGUACGUGAAAUUGUCAAAAGGGAAGCGUUUGACACCAGUGUUGUUUUUCCGAAAAUCAAUUAAGAAUUGAUUCGAUUUCAAGUUGUCAUGACCUUAUAAGCUUGUUCUAAUUUGUUUUGGUCUCUUCUUGAUGCACUUUUCGGUUAACAAGUCAACAUCAAUUUCCUUUGUUGUAAAAGGUUAAGAGGAAGGUGGCUUUACUUUCGGUAAAGUGUUUAUAGCCUUUUAACUCUGCAAUCGGAGAGAUUGAGGUCUGCAGCGUAGAUCCUUCGGGGCUAGAUACAGUUUGUGCUAAGUUAUAGCUUUUCAUAGACAACUUGUUGACUAUGUUUAGUCAUUGUAGCUUACUCGUAAGUGCUAUUUUACCUACGCUUAGGAUGUUGAGCGCAUGUCUCUCUCU